rnacentral:rRNA from 1 species
UACAGAGGGGGCAAGCGUUGUUCGGAAUUACUGGGCGUAAAGCGCGCGUAGGCGGGUUGGCAAGUCCGCUGUGAAAGCCUGAGGCUUAACCUCAGCGGGUCGGUGGAUACUGCCAGUCUUGAAGGCGUUAGGGGGAGAUGGAAUUACCGGUGUAGCGGUGAAAUGCGUAGAUAUCGGUAGGAACACCAGUGGCGAAGGCGGUCUCCUGGGACGUUCUUGACGCUGAGGCGCGAAAGCUGGGGGAGCGAACGGG